AUUGAACGCUGGCGGCAGGCUUAACACAUGCAAGUCGAGCGGGGGAAGGUAGCUUGCUACCGGACCUAGCGGCGGACGGGUGAGUAAUGCUUAGGAAUCUGCCUAUUAGUGGGGGACAACAUCUCGAAAGGGAUGCUAAUACCGCAUACGUCCUACGGGAGAAAGCAGGGGAUCUUCGGACCUUGCGCUAAUAGAUGAGCCUAAGUCGGAUUAACUAGUUGGUGGGGUAAAGGCCUACCAAGGCGACGAUCUGUAGCGGGUCUGAGAGGAUGAUCCGCCACACUGGGACUGAGACACGGCCCAGACUCCUACGGGAGGCAGCAGUGGGGAAUAUUGGACAAUGGGGGGAACCCUGAUCCAGCCAUGCCGCGCGUGUGAAGAAGGCCUUAUGGUUGUAAAGCACUUUAAGCGAGGAGGAGGCUACUUUAGUUAAUACCUAGAGAUAGUGGACGUUACUCGCAGAAUAAGCACCGGCUAACUCUGUGCCAGCAGCCGCCGUAAGAC
rnacentral:rRNA from 1 species